rnacentral:rRNA from 1 species
CGCGUAGGCGGCCUGCUCAGUCGGCUGUGAAAUCGCUGGGCUCAACCCAGCAACUGCAGUCGAUACUGGCGGGCUCGAGUCCGGGAGAGGGAAGCGGAAUUCCUGGUGUAGCGGUGGAAUGCGUAGAUAUCAGGAAGAACACCGGUGGCGAAGGCGGCUUCCUGGACCGGUACUGACGCUGAGGCGCGAAAGCUAGGGGAGCGAACGGGAUUAGAUACCCCGGUAGUCCUAGCCGUAAACGAUGGUCACUAGGUGUUGCGGGUAUCGACCCCUGCAGUGCCGUAGCUAACGCAUUAAGUGACCCGCCUGGGGAGUACGGCCGCAAGGUUGAA